rnacentral:rRNA from 1 species
UGGGGAAUAUUGCACAAUGGGCGAGAGCCUGAUGCAGCGACGCCGCGUGCGGGAUGAAGGCCUUCGGGUUGUAAACCGCUUUUAAUUGGGAGCAAGCGAGAGUGAGUGUACCUUUUGAAUAAGCACCGGCUAACUACGUGCCAGCAGCCGCGGUAAUACGUAGGGCGCAAGCGUUAUCCGGAAUUAUUGGGCGUAAAGAGCUCGUAGGCGGUUUGUCACGCCUGGUGUGAAAGUCCAUCGCUUAACGGUGGAUCUGCGCCGGGUACGGGCAGGCUAGAGUGCAGUAGGGGAGAUUGG